AAGAUAAAAUAUAAAAAAAUAUUAUAUACAUCAUUUAAAAUCAUUCAUAUUACAACAUUACAAUAUAAUAAUUGAAUGAACUACCAACCACCCAACAUUACAGUGACUACAUAUAUUGAUUGAAAAACUAGCAACUACCAACCACCCAAUGUUUUGUUUAAUCAAAAGAUUAGUGCAACAAGGCUGACAUGACAAACAGAUACUCCUCCAUUUGAAGCCGAAGCAGUGGGUUCCCCAGCUUGUUUAGCUGUACUUGUAGACCCAUCAUGAACUGCUUCAAUACUCCCACUUGUUUAGCUGUACUUGUACCACUACAUAUAAAAUUAGCAAACUUAAAAAUAUUGAAAAUAUAACCACCUGUAAUGUAAUUUCCAUAAGAAAAAAUCAUUGUCAUACCAUUUUCGAAAUUGACGAGUGAUAUACAUACAUACUAAAUAAGCUAGAAUAGAAAUGUUCUUUUAGCAUCUAUUUACAUUGCAAUCAAGAGCAUAUCUCCUCUAAAUCCACACANN
rnacentral:lncRNA from 1 species